AUUGAACGCUGGCGGCAGGCCUAACACAUGCAAGUCGAACGAGUGGCGGACGGGUGAGUACUGUCUGGGAAACUGCCUGAUGGAUGGGGCUAACUACUGGAAACGGUAGCUAAUACCGCAUACCAUCAGCUGUGCCCAGAUGGGAUUAGCUUGUUGGUGAGGUAACGGCUCACCAGGGCGACGAUCCCUAGCUGGUCUGAGAGGAUGACGAGCCACACGGGAACGGGGACCCGGUCCAGACUCCAACGGGAGGCAGCAGUGGGGAAUAUUGCACAAUGGGGGCAAGCCUGAUGCAGCCAUGCCGCUUGUAGGAAGAAGGCCUUCGGGUUGUAAAGUACUUUCAGCGGGGAGGCGUUACUCGAAGAAGAAGCACCGGCUAACUCCGUGCCAGCAGCGGCGGUAAUUC
rnacentral:rRNA from 1 species